GAUUCCCACAACCCUCUCUCCUGAGGUAAAAAGGAUCCACAAGAGUCUGGAGGAUGGACAAAAGUACAGAGGAAAUGAGAGGUUCACGUCUGAGCACAACUCUACUGUCACAAAUAUAUUGUUGCGGACAAUAACAGAUGAAGAAGAAUAUGACACCUCUUUGAUCAGAAGUAAGUUAUGACUCUAAAAUUGGUUUUAAGUUAGUUAUAAAAAUAAUGCUUCUCUCCAGAGAAAGUAUCACAAUUAAUGUGUCACUUUUUGUGUUCAUAGGAGCAUGCAACAGGUACUUUGAGAAUAUAAGGAGGG